rnacentral:rRNA from 1 species
ACACGUGGGCAACCUGCCCUGAAGCGGGGGACAACAACUCGAAAGAGUUGCUAAUACCGCAUGUGUAUCGGAAUGGCAUCAUUCAGGAUACAAAGCCGCAAGGCACUUCAGGAUGGGCCCGCGGCCUAUCAGCUAGUUGGUGAGGUAACGGCCCACCAAGGCUUCGACGGGUAGCUGGUCUGAGAGGACGAUCAGCCGGAUUGGGACUGAGAUACGGCCCAGACUCCUACGGGGGGCAGCAAUUAGGAAUCUUGCACAAUGGGCGAAAGCCUGAUGCAGCGACGUCGCGUGAAGGAUGAAAUCUUUCGGGAUGUAAACUUCUUUUACCGAGGAAGAAAAAAAUGACGGUACUCGGUGAAUAAGCCCCGGCUAACUACGUGCCAGCAGCCGCGGUAAUACGUAGGGGGCGAGCGUUGUCCGAAGUUACUGGGCGUAAAGAGCGCGUAGGCGGGUCUUUAAGUGAGGGGUGAAAGUCCGAGGCUCAACCUCGGAACUGCCUUUCAUACUGGGGACCUUGAGUGUGGGAGAGGCGAGUGGAAUGGUCGGUGUAGCGGUGAAAUGCGUAGAUAUCGAUCGGAACACCCAUGGCGAAGGCAGCUCGCUGG